rnacentral:rRNA from 1 species
AUGAGUCUUGUUGCACUCAGCCUUCUACAACAACAACAACAACCUUGUUUUGAGGAACUUUUUCAAAUUGUUUUUUCUUUCGAUAUUUGCAACACGAGCCUUGUUGCACUCAGCCUUCUGCAACAACAACCUUGUUGCAGAACUUUUUUGGACCGAUUUUUUCUGUCGAUAUCUGCAACAGAAGCUUUGUUGCAGAGAACCUUCUGCAACAAGAGUCUUGUUGUUCCCCGCAAAAAAAAACAAGAGUCUUGUUGCAAAAUCUUUCUUUGCAGCGGGAAGGAGAGCGCGGCCAUGGAUGGGGGAGGCGAGCGCGGUCAUGGAUGA